AGACUGUAUGAGGAAGAGUAUGAUUGGAGACCAUGCUAGGACGGUAUCAAUUUUAGCUCACUGAACGAGACCAAUAGGUUGUCUCAGGAAGAUAGAUCUCCAAAGAACAUAUUUUUGAGGGUUUCAGGACGUGCAAGAAAGACAAGACGUCGGGCCCCGAUGGGUUAACUAUGGGGUUUCUUCAGGAGUUUUGGCAUGUAGUGAAGAGGGAUAUUGUUGACUUAUCCAUUAGUUUCAUGCUGCUGGCUCUUUUGUUAA
rnacentral:lncRNA from 1 species